UAUCAAUGGUGAUUGAAAAAAACAAGCCAGAGUUUAUUGCGAGGACUCACCAGAAAAAGUGGCUCUGGAGAGAGGGACGCCAAGCCAGUUCUUCCUGCUUCCAAUGCUGCGUUUUUGAGAGUCAUGAGUUGCUGGAAGUGGGUGCAGUUCAGCCCCGCUGUGACGAUGCCCGCCUUGUCCUGAGGGCUGGCUGGAGUAUUUUCCUUGCUCUCAGUUAGCGGUGUCCACUUGUGUCAGUGGCAGAGGCACCAGUGUUACAUCGUUACCCUGCCAUCUACCCUGGGUUCUACUUCAACAGAGGGUGAAUUGCUGGCCUGGGGUCUUGUCCCAAACAAAGAAUUCAGCAGGACAUCCAAGAGGUACAGUAGGAUCAAUGCUUUAUUUGAAAGAGAAAGGACAGGAUUCAGGUUGGGAGCAGGCGAAGGAGGGGAGCUCAAACUGGGGUGAGGUCAAGGAGUUCUGCCUGGAAUGUGCCCUCACCUGCCUGUGUCCCCCCCCAAGCCUAAUGUAUGGAAAAGACCCAGGGACAGAAGAAACUGAGUGAACUGAGAAAGAGGCCAGAACACUGGGAGCCUGGGGGUGUAAAUUGGGGGAAGGGCGGGGGGAGAGGGGGAGAACAGGGGGGACAAAGAGGGGAGCAGAGGCUGGAAGGGGUGGUGCCUUGUGUAUGAUGAUGGGGGGGGGGCGUGGAUUUUAUCCCAAAUAACAGGAAGCGAUUCAAAGGAGAUAAAUAGGCAGUACUGGGAUCCUGGGUGGGCCAAAAACAUCAGGGUUAGAAUGGAAUUGAUCAUGUCUUUUGAGGUACACAUUUGGUCCCAAAAUAACUUUCCAAUUUCUCGAUACUCUCUAACAGCAGAUGGUCUUCUCUACACCCCCCUCCCUAACUCUCUGCCACAUUCUUGGCUCUUGGGUGCUCCCCAAACAAAGGUUCUCUCUGCAGCUUCGUCCUUAUCUAAGUCAUCCUGGUAACUCAGUUAAGUCCUUCUCUCCUUCAUAACCAGUGCACCUCAGCUCUCCUGUGGAUCCUUCUUUAACAGAUCACGGAAGUACUCAGCACUCCAGGCAGAUGAGAAGGGAAAAAGAGCUCUUUUUCCAAGAUUCCCAGCUCUAGGCUCGCUUUCUAACCAACUCGAGUUUUCUCUCACACCAAGCAAUCAUUGGAGGGCCAUGAAAUCCUACCCCUGCCUGUGCAGUCCUGGCUCAUCCUUCAGGAUGGACCUCAGCGUUACCCCACGCAGGAGCCCUCUGCCCCCCAGGAAGAGGCUUCGAUCCAUCCCUUCUGGGCAGUGUCCUACACUGUCAAAUGGAAAAGAAACAGAGCCAACCAACCAAGUUUUGCCUGCUUAAAUACACAUUUCUGAACCUACCCUAACAUUUCAGAAGGCAGGGAACAUGCUGGGUCAUUCUCCCCGUAUUCCUCUCCCCUGAACACCACACCCUGUAAAUAGUCAGUAAAUACAGGUUGAAUGGCUUUGCUGGGUCUGAGGCCUCGUGCUCACUGGUGUAUCCCUGACUUCCUGGAAGAUAAAAGGCUUCCACCUUGUUCUCGAGUUUCCUCCUGCCCUGCGGUCAGAGUGACUGUCCCCAAACUUACUUCUGUGGCUUUUCCUUGCUGAGAGCAAGCCUGGUUCCUGGUGGCCUAUGUGAUAAAACCUGUGCUCCUCAGCCCAGCCUCCCCACCAUCUCCAGCUGCUUAAGUUUUGUACUGCUGUGUAACAGAUGCCAUGAACUUAGUGACUUAAACGACUCCCAUCUACACUCUCAGUUUCUGUGAGUCAGAAGUUGGGGCACAGAAGAGCUUGGUUCUCUGCUAGCUGUGGGCAGAACACCAGUCAGGCCUGUGAUCUCCUCAGGGGAUCAAUGGGAAGGAGCCCCUGGAUUCACAGGGAUUGCUAGCAGAAUCUCUUUCCAAGCAUUGCAAGUCUGAGACUAGCCUGGGCUCCUAGAAACUCCCUGCAAUUUCCCUGACAGUGGAGGUGAGAGAAAGGGAGACCCAAGGACUGGUCCUUCCAAAGCCUUGUGUACCAGAGUGGCUUGUGAAGUGACUUUUGCCAUGUUCCUUUGGUUAGGGCUGGCCAUAGGUGCUCACAUUCCCAAAGGGAGAGGACUAUGCAAUGGCACAGACAUGGGGAGGUGGGACCUAAGGUCGGCUGGCCACAGGUUUAUCUUCUGCUGGCUUCCAGUCUUUUGAGCUCUGUGACCAUGUCUCCCAACAUCUCUGAGGGCACAGCGGCCUCUGAUUCCGAUUACAGCACAGUCUUCCAUUACUUUAUCUCUGGCAGUAAUGCUCCCUCAGUGUUCCCCUGCCUUACUUGCACAUAGACACCACUUUGUCUGACAGGCCUGAGCAUACUAGUGUUUGUGGAUGUUGAGGAUCUAGAAGAGGAUUUCCCUUACAUUAUUCCUCCAGCAAGUCUUUGGGUCUCUUUGGGACACAAGUACCCCGCCUUUUAAAGGUUAUUUCUGAAUGACUAGGAUACUCUAGGAAAGGGUGAAGGUGAAAACUAGAAGGACUUAUGUGUGUGAUGGGGGAAAGAACUAGAAAGAAGAAAGUGGAGCAACACAAAGAACCUGAACUAAGAUUUUUCUUUGGCUGAAAUUGGCUGGGAGAAGAAAACACUUCCUCCUCUAAGAGAGGGAGUAAUCAGUGAUAGGGUUGGGUAAGAGAAUUUGGGGGUUCAUCCAGAAUAAGUGGUAAGCAUGAGAGGCAAGUGUUCCUGGAUAUCAGCCCAUGAAGGAUGAAUAUACGGGUUCCAGUUUGAGGAAAGAUUAUGCAUGUGGCACACCCAGCCGAUUUCAUCUGCUUGUCACCAAUGUGAUUAAUACUUGCAGCAACACACACACAGAGUUAUGGUUUGUGUCUAGAUGUUCCCCUAAAGGCUCGUGCAGUCAUACAUGGGGCUUUUCACAGGUGGCUGGAUCUAGAAUGUGAUGCUAGGAUUGAUUCAUGGUGUGAGUGCUACUCACCCUAAGUAGCCUGGAUAAGACAUAAUGGAAGGAAAGAGCUGUGGUCGCCACCUGCUUGCUUUGCUACCUUCUGCCCACCAUGAACUGUUUCUCUUCUGCGAUGCCUGUCUGCUGUGCCACCCUGCCUUGGAGCCAUCUGAUAGACUGAAACCUCUACAAACUUAGCUAAAUGAACCUUUCUCCCCUUAACUUGUGAGUGUUGGGCAUUUUUGUCCCAGCAAUGAGAAAAAAUAACUAAGGCACCCACCCACCUUCUUAUUAAUGAAGCCCGUAUGCCUUAUACAAGAAACAGAUUACAAAACUCUGGAAAUCUUUUACUAAGACAUUUCCUGUCCCUGAGCCUGUCACUGCAUCCCUUCCACCCACCACUUUUUUCUUCACUUUGCCUUUCUCUUUCUCCUCCUCUUGCUUUCUUGUUCCUUCCUGCAUCCUUUUUGUUCCCAUUCGCAUCCUGAAGGCUUUGCCCUGCCUUGGUUUUGCAAUGAGCAACUGCUGCGGAUUUUGAAGAAACAAGUGGACUCUGUACCACGGGAAGCUCUGUUUUGGGAAAAACAUCUUUGUUGAGACAAUGACUCAGAAGUCUCCAGCCAGGUAUGAUACAGCACCUCACAGUAGGGCUUACUUUGGGUCCCCAACCAAUCGUACAUGUUUACACAUGUAGAAUUGUAGGAUGCCAGAAACUCACAGGCCAUCUAAUUCAAAAUGUUCAUUUCACAAGAGAAACUGAGGUCAUAAAGGAAAAUAGAUUUGACUAAACUCAUAUGAAACUGGAGAUUUCCUACCUUAGAGUCUGUCGAUAUGAGCAAAUUUGGGAUCUAUAUGUCAAUAGUCCAGAAGAAAUUCACUCAAACACACAAAGGUGGGCAAGGGUGAGUAGAUAUGUAUGCAGCAGUGACAGCCAAAUAUGGUACACAGAGUUCACACACUGCUCUCUAGCUCUUUUUUGCUGGCUUCAGCUCCUACGAUCUAAGAGUGGGGUAGCUAUGUCCUCCACUAAUCCCCCCACCAGUAACCAUGUAGCUAUAUUGGAGUCAGACUGGAGGGAAUCGGGGCUGCUCACAAUGGGCUUUUCUCAGUUCUAAUCAGGCACCUGGGGUAGGAAUGUUCAGCAGAAUAUAGUAGAGUCAUCCAGCAUGACCCAUUUUCCUAGGGAGCACAUAGCUGGGAAAGAGACGUCCCAAUAAUCUAGUCCUGCCACUGGCUUUUCUCUGUACGGCCUUGGGAAGGCCCCUUCCCAUCUUUGGACCUCUGCUUCAGCAUCUUGUGUGAAUGAUAGCCAGGGAGUUAUGAGGAGUGAAUGCAGAAAUGGAUGGACAGGCACAUGAUAUGGCCAAGUGUGAUAACAUAAGGGAUUGGAGAUCUUAUUGCUAUUUAUUCAAUUUCAUUGCUGAGGGAAUGGAGUCUGUUUUCUGCAAAGGUUCGAGGCCUCCUGGCCCACUGUCCCUGAGAGGCACCCCCUGCUGCUUCCCCUACACAGGGGCUUUUCUGACAGCCCUUCAAAGUCCCCAUGCUGCUGCCCACCCUGUCACUUCUCCAUCCUGUUGGUUUUAUUUUUAUCUUUAGUGCUCAUCACACUCCAUUAGCUGUUUGUUUAUGUCUUUCUCCCCACCCGAAUAUAAGACCUAGGAGGCCAGGGACUGGCAGUUUUAUUAACCCGAGUCUUGGGGCCCAGAAUACAUUGAACAGGCAUAAUGUGCCAGGCUCUAUCAAUGUUUGCUGAGGAGUGAAAAAGACAGGCGACACCCUGAGGGUCGUCUUGGAUGCAAACAGAUGCAGCAUCCAGACUACUGGGAGGUGUGGCAGUCAUGGGAGGACAGGGAGAGACUCCAGGGUGGUGGUGAUGCUUGGGUGAUCCACAAAUUCAGAUUUGUGGUCUGAGUGGUUGGCUUGAAUGCCACAGAUCUUUGAGCCUUCCAACACUCUGGGGACUUUUUAUCUGUAAACCUCCAGGGAUAUCAAAGGGCAGGAGCGUUAGGAAUCAGCAGUUCACAGAGCAGGGCUGCAGCUGCCGGCACCUACCUGAGUGUGGGCUGUGGUGACACUGAGGGGGUCUGCCUCUGCUACUGUGACCAGCAGGUGGUGGUGGGGAGGUGAGCAGUCAAGAGGGGAGACAGGUGGGCCCACGGCACCUAGGGGGAGACCCGAGACUGGUCCUGCCGUCAUCCUCAAUGUGAACCCAUCCUUGCUAUAUGGGGAUGUCUUCUGGGAUCUGCCCAUUGGGCUGUGUGGGUGGCCUGGGUUCAAGAACUACACAUGGUGCUGCACAUGCCCACUGGGACACCCCUCCCACCAGGAACCUGUUUGGAAAUGGAGGUGAGGGCAGAGCUCUCAAGGGACCCUGCCAUAAGGGACCUCAGCAUACCGGGUGGGAACACUCACGUCACAGAGCCAGGUUCAAGGGUCUUGAUUGUGCUGUGCACAAGGGCAUUAUCGGACUACGCGUGUCACUCACGAUGGGCUGGUUGGUCGGGUUGUGAUGGCCUGUGUGUCACAUAACAUUGCACGUGCAAUAUUAUAUCUGUCUGGGAGCUCACAUGGCUGUGUGUGAGGAGAGGGCCCAGGCAGAGGGGAUCAGGAGGGCAGGGACCAGGUGUCCAGUGGGUGAUGCUGUGGUGCUCACAGAGCUCGCCUCCCUCCCAAGUUUCAGCACAUGUGGCCGCUGCAGUGCUCUCUGCAAAGAGCCAAGUGGCACUUGGCUGCUCUCCCUGGUGGCCUUCUGUGGAUACCUCCGCCACAGCCCCUGGGCAGCUGACAUGUUUCCAUCUCUGUUCCUCGGUUCUGCAUCCACAGUCCACAUGCCCCACCCCCUGGCUGUCAACUCCAUUCUCUCAUCUGAGGCAGGGUGACCAGGUCGAUGCUGGGUUGGGUGGGAAGCUAUGGGGUGGACCGGGCUGGUCCAGGGUGUCUGAGUGCCCCAGAUGGGGACCCUAUCUUGGGGAAGAGCCACGUUCUAUCCCCAGGCUCCUAGUCCCCAGCAGGCCUGGAGUGAAUUUUUGACCUCUGCUGUCUCUGCCUAGGGCAGGGCCCGUCUUGGAAUCUUUUAAAGUUUUCUGUGAUGUCCUGGGUGCUGCUUUUCUCCACGAUGCUUCGUUCCUCCAGCCAAGUCACACUGUGCUGUGGCCACAGGAGAUGAAUUAUCUGACACAGGCAUUUGCAAAUGACAGAUCAAACUUGAACCUUCAGGCAGGGGUCGAUGGCAGAAGCUCCCAGGCCUCUGACCCCAAAACACGACCCCUGGCCCCAGCAUCGGCUCCACCCCUUCUGGGCUUGCAGAGCGGCUCUAAUCUCCUCGAUUGUCAGUCUUCCCAGCAGAAUUGAGUGAGGGGUAACUGGGAGCCCCCUGGCUUCUGUUUCCUAGGACGACCAAUUGUGAGUUCGGGUUGAAGGGCAUUGGAGGAGCCCGUGACCCCACAAGUCAUGGUCAAUCGCUUUGCCCGCGUGUGAGGGACUGCACACCACUGUUUGCUUUUGAAACACACUUGCACUGGUCCACGCCCGUGUGUGCAGUAGUCUCAGAGCUGGCCCAGGGAGUUUUUCUUGGCACAAUCGCAGAUCUGUCUCUGUUUUAGACCCAGGCCACAAAACAAUGGUUCUCAGAGACAGCAAAGAGGAAACUGGGCAACUGUGACCAGAUCCUCUGCCACCCGCUGCUGCCUUCCCAUUCCCUCCACUCCAGGGUGCAGACAGCCUCUCUGCCCCUUCUCCAUCCGGGCAGACCCCGUGACACCAGAUAAGGAGAAUUUUAGAAAUGUCAGACAACUGUGAUCUGUUUUAUUCUGAAUUUAUUUUUUAGCUCAGAGGAACUGUGAACUUGUAUAAGGACUUUUCAAACCCUAUAGGUUCUCAGGCUGUGGCCGCCGAGGGGCUGGGCUUAAAGGGCACCAUAACUCCUGUCUCUACUCCCAAGCUGGUGGGUCAGUUAUUUCGUUGAUUUGUGGUCCAUUUCCAAAACUGCUCCAAGAUAGAAAUCAAAUCCUGACAUCACAUUCCAAAACCUUCAGCUGCUCGCAGCUACCUGCAGGACUGAAUUCCAAAGAGUUAGACAAGCUCCUAAGUACUGUACAGUUGUUUAGGUGGUACACUGCAUAAUGCUACAGCUUAUCAUUCUCUGUAAAACCACACCGAGGCCGUGUAAUAAGCAGUGUUCAAGGUGCUUCACCGUGUGAGUCCAAACCUCUCUCUUCACAGUGGGUCCCUAGCUGAAGCUACACCCAGUAGCUUUAGUCUGUCUAGUCUCACUGCAUCUUACAAUUUCUACACCUGGGUGUUUGCACAACCUCUUCCCUUAGAACAAGGAGCACUGGCUCCUCGCCUGCCUGGUUGCGUCUUCCCAGUCCUGCAAAUGCUGCCCUCAGCUCUGCCUUCUCCUUGGUGCUUCCGGGUCCACACACCUAGAAGCCGUCGGAGCCCUGGUUGCAGAGGACCCAGAAACCCACUGCGCACCACAGGAGUUUUAGUUCUCUUGCCUCGCACUUGGUGGAGUUGCCAUCCAGAGCGCGCACUCAGGCGACGGAGCCCGAGUGUAAUGUCCCCCGUGUUUCCUCCACCAGCGACACAGAGCUGCACCCCUGAGCGGCUUCCCCUUGCCUGCCGGCUGGUUCCAGCGGCUUCGUAAAAGCUUCUCUCCCCACUCCCCACCCCCUCUUGCUAUUUUAUUCCAGUUCCUGGAAUUUCAUAAUAACAGAGAUGCUUCCAGAAAGCUGACACAGGCCAUUUCCCCUAAACAAACGCAUGUUUUCAUAUGACAUGCUGCGGAGCUUGCUAUAAAAAUUCUGUGUUCCAGUUCCAUCGGACACAUUCCAAAAAAUAAUAAUAAUGACAAGAAAACAAUCACUUCUUUAGCGCUUUUACAUACGGGCGAAAUCCAUACAUCAUUUUAUUUUAUCCUCAGCUUGUCAAGGAGGGAGAUAUUUAUAUUUCCCCGGUUGAACAAUGAGUAAAGAAAGGCUCAAAUAAAUAAAGCAACCUGUGUCCGAUCGCCAGUGAGUGGAGUUGAACCAAGGCCUCCGGCAUUUCCAGGGUGUUAUCCAGGGCUGACAUAGGGGUUUGUGCGGCUGGGAAGGCACUGGGGUUUUGGGGAAGACCCUGAGGUGGCCAGAGACCUCAGUACCCAGAGUGCAUUGCCAGAAACAACUUAAUAAUAAGCCUUAUUAUCUUGAAAACUAAGUAAUUGGACGGGAUCCCUUCCUAUUCUAAGAAUUUGUGCAAUUAUACAAAAGUGAAGACAUGGCCCUUGCUUUCAGGAAUUUAAGAUCUUUUUGAGAGUGGGGGGCAUUAACUUUAGGGGAGAAGAGCUGGUGAGGAGAGAGGGGCAGCCAGGUCAGUGGGCUGGAGGCCAAGGGCACUGGGGGCAGCUCUCUACAAGCAGGGCGGGCUGCGUUGCCCAGCAGGAGAAGCCCUUCCUGGAAGGAUGAUGAACCUGACCUUCCCAAAAGGACCUCAGAGGCCUGCCGGUCAGUGGCAUAAGUCACAACCCUCAGGAUGUUUAUCAGCUGGGCCAUUGUGACCCUUCAGCAAGAUGUUUCUUGAGCAAACUUUUUUUGGAAUUUUGGUGGGCUCUGACCUGUAGUUUUCACUUCCAAAAUAACUUGACUUUUUUAAAGUGGUAAUUUCACUUCAUGAUAAUACUAAACUGAAGCCACAUGAACUCUAAUUGGAAGCAGGUCUUGGGCUGCAGGGUUGCCAAGAAGCGGUAAGAAACAUGCUUAUUCUACUACUUUGCUUGAGGCACUCAGCAUUUUUGAAUGCCUGGGCAGAAAUAUAGUUUUUAAAUAAAGCCAAUCCCUGGGAGAAGAGGGGCGGCGGGGGAGGGAGAGAGGCAGGGGUGGAGGUGGUUAGAAAAGGGAGAAGGGGUUUUUUUCAGUCCAAAGAGAGGAAAAUCACACUCUGUUUUCGUGUAUCAGUUUUGAUGCUGGUCCCUGCCGCCUUUGGAAUUAGUGAAGUCGGGGUGCUCUUCCUGGAUGUCUGGGGCUCAUGGGGCUGAUGUUCUUUCAACUUUUCAGUGGGUACUCGAACUCCUUCUGCCAGCACAGGCUGGGGCUGACCUCACCAGGGCAGCAGGGUGUUAUUCCUUCUCCCAUUUUCCUUCCCACAUCACUCCCUUGUCCUAUUAAUUGCAUCCUGAUGAGCAAGGCAUUCAGUCCUCCGGUGGCUGCUGGAGAUUGCUUUAUUUAAUAAGUCUCUCUUGGAGGAGGCGAGACAGCAGUUUUGCUUUUUCUUUUUAGAAAAACAGCACACUGUCCCAGGGAAGGCCUCCGAAAACAUUGACAUAAAGGAAAUCUUUAAAAAUUGCUUUCCAGAAAAGAAACAAAACAAAUCCCUUCUCUGAAAACAAAAGUUAUAUAACAGAGUAAUUGCACAGCACAGCUUUCUGCUGGAAGCCCAGGCUGUUUGGGGGAUGCAGUUGGGAGCUGAGUAAUCACACGAUGGGGAGAGGUCUCCCUGCCCGCUGGCCUCAGUUUCCUUAAGACACCGUUUCAAAGAAAUGUGUGGGACUGGACUCCCCCGAUUCUGUGGUUCUGACCCACCCUGUCAAGUCACCUCCCAGUGCUGCUAACCCUGUGUGCUCCAGCCCCGUGGUGUCUGUGCCCUGUGGGGCUGGAUGUCCCUUCUCACUUGGUUUUGUUGUGUCUAGUGCUGGGCUUUGGGGCGGUUGUGGAAGGACACUGGGCAGGAUUCUGAUUUUCCCUUUCCCACUUUGCACACACAGAAAGGGGUAGGUAAGGGGUACAUGGAGAAAAAUAGAGUUCUAGAUUUCAGCUUUGACUGUUGGCUAUAAAAAGCCCACAGCACUGGGGCUGGGAAAGGAGAGCCUGGAGCUUGGGUUGCAAGAGAAAGUCCCGAGGGGAAAUGUUUGGAAAUUCAACCACAGUGCCUCAAGAUAGAUGUGACUCAGUGACUUCCCACAGCAGGGAGCUCAAAGAGCACAUCGUGUCCCUCAGUGCCUGCCCAUAGAUUUCCCUAUGGUAGGCCUUGAGGUUUGCAAUGGAGACCCCACUGUGGUCUCCAGGGACUACACAGGUGUCAUAGGUCCCAUGGGGACAUGUGCUUUCUCUUGAUGUCUCCAAGGACCACGGGGCCCAAAAGCCCUGAGAAGCAAAACAUCUGGUCCACUUCAGCAAUUUUUUCACACGUUCAGCCAGUCAUCUGGAUGCUUUGUCUAUGCAGUGCCAAACAGCUGGGCCACUAGAUGUUUUGGCCCUGUGUAGACAGGAAUUCAACUUUUUAAUAGCUGUUUCUUUUCUCUUCUGAGGUUCUUUUUACCAGCCUUCCAGUACAAUGGAGAAGAGAGAUAUAAAGAUUUUUUUUUCCUUUUUGGUUGAUGGACUUAAUAGAAUUGUGUUUGUGUAAUCAUUGAAAAGUGGACAAUGUUGCUGAUUACUUUUCUUAGGGUAUUCUUAUAACCUUAAAUUAUCAGUUUGAUUACUUUUCUGGUGGCAUCCACAUAAUUCUAAAUCAGUGGCUGGACUACUUUGCUUUUUCACAGGUAGACCAAAUCAACCAAAAUAAUAUGGUGUGUUCAUCGUAAAUGUUCCAAAUUCAUUUCGAAAGAAUUAGAAUUUUAAUGCACUUUGCAAAAGCUUAACACAAUUGGAUGGCUCUUGAAAAUAAUUUAUGAAGAUUACAUUAUCUCUGGACUUUUAUUCUUUUAAGAUUGUAAGAUCCUGUGAUGUGAUUUUUGAAAACUUUAAUAAUCAGUGGUAACAAUAGCAGCAAGAUAGUAAAUUCUAAGGGUUUUUAUGUCAUUUAUCUUUCUCCAUUCUAGACUGUCAUUAAAUAAUGAUGUAUUGAUUUACACCUUGAAAACUAGUGUUUCCAAACAUUAUCAAACUAGAAAGACCCUUCCUUCUCCCCCAGAUUGUGGGAAAUAUUAACUUGCUCCUUUUCUUUGUGCUAAGUUGCUGCCAUCGUGGGGGAGGAGGGAACAUAGCAUCAGAGGACAACGAGGAGUGCCAACUCUCAGCCAGUCCCCUCCUCGGUGACAGGCCCAGGGGAAGGAAGGGAGGGUUGAAGAGAGAGGGUGGGUCUAGCCAGGAGAUCUAUGAGCCAGGAUGCUUCCUCUAAGUCGGAAACAGCAAUCACAGAACCAAAAGCAGGAGUUAAGCUUGUGAGAGCAGAGCCAGGGUGUGAUCAGCAGGUUGAGAGUGGUCGAGAGCCGGUCUUUGGCAAAGAUCUGCAAUCAUUUGAAGCCAAGGCAGCAGAGGGGGUUCAGACUGCUUUCAUGUGCUUGACAUGUUUCGUGGGAGGCCAGAAUAUUUAAAGUGCCAGAAAAUGUACAACCUUUAACUCAGGGCAAAGUGUCUUCCUUCCCUGUCCAUGAUUCUGUGUAACAAAUGAUGCUCACAAUGCCCGUGAGGAUUUCCCAUUGGUAAAAGCAGAUAUUCAGUCAUCUCUGAAGGUCAUUUGUCCUCGGUUCCAUGACCAAAUGAUGCCCUUACUGUAGAAUUGAAGGUUUCAAAGGAUAAGAUCUAGGACUUUGGGCUCUCUUAUUCAUCCCAUUUUUGGACAUUUCUCAAAGAGGGCAUAAACUGGCUCAAAUUUGGGAACUGGUUGAGGGGUCAUAAUUCCUUGUUACCAUGACUUGAAGUAGGUUUGUGUUCAUUUGCCCUUUAAUUUUUUCAAUUAUAUAAAUCUAGUAAAUUGGGAACACAUGGUUGAUCAGCCAAUGCCAUACGUCUAGACGUGUCAGACCAUUCUGGACAUCGUUCUGCUUCUGUUGUCUAUUGCUGCCUUCGGUGAUUAAGUGCUGCCACUUGGCCCUCUCUCACUCCAGGAUCCAGUCAAGCCAUUGCCCUUAAAUGUCCCAAUUGAGUAACCUCGGUCCCCACUGUAAGGCCUGGCACGCAGAGAAGAGCAAUGACAGGGCUCUUCAGGGGUGCCAGUGCUCUCCUCACAAAUCUGUUUCUCAAGAUCAUUCUCAUUUCCCUGAGCCUCUGGAAUCCCCUCAUCAACAGAAAACCAUGGCAUAUCGGGCAUCUCUAACUCAUUCACAGUGGGCCACCUUUUGAUCUAUAUUUCUGCCAGCAAGCCAAAUACACUACUAACACCUUUCUUUACUCCACGAGCCACAAGAUUAAAUUCAGGAUCCCUGCUUGACCGGGCCAUAUCAACAAACUCAGCCUGGUCCAAGUGUAUAGUUUUGCCACCAUUAUCCUACACCUGUAACUUGUUCAGGAGGCCUCUGGUUAUAAGAGUUAGAAAACUCAAGAAGUUCUUUGGGAGAACAGCAGACAUCCUCCCUCAUGGGUCACACUAUGGACCUCACCCUUAGGACCCUUCUGACUUGAGCCUGAUUACAGGACUAGAGGCAAACGUGGGUGGCGAAGGUGGGUUCUGAGGAGCGUUGGCAUUAUCAUGCUUGGUCAACACAGGCUUAGUGUCCUCAGGUAUACUAGGAGAGGCCAGCACCACAAGGGGUAGGGGUGCCUCCACCACUGUCAGUGGGUAAAUCUUUUUCUCUUGCAAAAUAAUCUCAUUAGCCUCUAGAAACACAACAUCCUCAGCUUCAUCAGGAUUCCUCUCAAACAUCUCUGGGUCUCAUUUUAUGGGAUCCCAUUAUUUUCCAAUCAGUGCCCUCACCUUUGCUUCAGAUGCCCUUUGAAGCUGAGCAUUAAACUUACACUGCAGUUCAGCCAAUUGAAUUAUGAGGGCCUGUGUUUGAGUUUCUGGAAUCUCAGCCCUGCAGCUAAAAAAGAGAGGGGAUUUUCUUUCAGGACACGAUUAGAAACUUUUAAAUUCCCAGCGUCAGACACAUAAGAAAUUUAAAUCUUUGGACUCCUUUAUUUUUAAUUUGUCCCAGUCAAAAGAAUUUAGAUUUCCUAUGGAUGUUUUGAAGUCACUGCUUUCCUUCACUAGUUUGUCCAGAGAUGGUAAGACCAACCAGCCAGCAUCAUUAUGUUUCCCACUCUGCCAAAAAUGGAGUUGCUAAAAGUGGUAAUCAAAUCCUACUCAAAUCAGGAUAAUCCAAUGGAACUUCACUGCAUAUUACUUUAAACAGUUUACAUCAAGGACUGUCAGUGUUCCCCAUAGAAUUAGGAGACCAUGGCGUCUUUAGGUGUCAUCAAAUUAGAGCACCAACUCCAGGAACCCCUAAAGCCAUUAAAGAAUUUCAUCUUUACAAUUCUGUUUUUCUAGUGCCACUCCCAGUACCAAAAUUUGUAUCAGUCAGUGUUUACUAGUGAAACAGAUAUAACACAAGAUAUACAAAUAUUUAAGAAUUUGCAAGAUCGGCUUACAAUGACCACCCACAGAGUCGGAUGUGGAAGAGUGCAGGGGGUCUGUCUGCACACUGGAGACCGAAGGAUUCAGUCGAAGGUCUGGAGCUCACUGCAGUGUUCUGUGUGAGUCUGAAUCCGGAGGUCGAUGGGUCUGCAGUGGAAGGCUGAAGGCUCUGCACCAGAAGCUGAAGAAUCAGCACUGGAAGCCAGGAGAUGAUGUCCAAGGUGAAGGUGAAGACUAGAGCUCCUCUGAAGAAACAGAAGCAGAUCCAUCCUUUUUCAUUUGCCCUUUACACCAUCCAGGCAACAAGUCACCCAAGGUUGGGUCUUCCAACCUUAGGGUGUGGAAUUGCUAAGGCAAGUUGAGCUUCUUAUAUCACAGUGCCCCUUCCUGGUCUCUCUCCAUUGGUGUGAUAGAAUGAUGGUGAAUAGUUGGCUGUGCUGUGUUAACCCUGAUGAUGUGAGGAACCAUCAGUGCCUGCUCCCUGCAUUCCACAUCCAACUUCUCCUAAGGGCUAAGCAUUGGCAAUAAUAUAAGGUGGGGAGGAGAAGCUGCGUCUUUGGAGCCAUUGCAUCAUAAGUUCCUCUAUGAAGGAACUGUGUCCUCUGGUUAUCUCCACCAUUAUGCUACAGAACACUGCCAGGCAUUCAGCAGGUGUCUGAUUUUUCUCACAUGUUCUGGGGCCUUAGGAUACUUUGCCAUGGUCCUAGACAUCCCUGUGUGGUAGUCAAGCAGAUUUGUCUUUGUGUCUCUUUUGCCCUCUUUGUGUUUUUCUUCUUCCUCUGGAUCAUUUCUGAGUAGAUGAGCUGGGAUCAGUCUAAUCACAAGUUGAGUAGUGUUCUAGUUAUAUAUUAUUUAUACACGUUUCGAUAAAUUUCCAUUAUGGAUAACAUCCUCUAUGCAUUCAGUGAACUUUCUUAGUGACAGCUUUUUUCUUAUGCAACAUACCCUGGAACGUGGAGCACUGAACUUGCAGUUUUGUCAUGCAAUAAAAGGAGUCAGAAAAUUAAGAAAAAUAUGAAUGAGAGAUGCCCAAGACAGAGUAAAAUCCUUUGAUAACCAAGGUUCACUCAAAUGUUCCCAGCAGCCUUAGCCUAAAGGGAAAUAUGAUGUCUCUAAAGAAUUAAAGCUUUUCCGUGGUGCUAAAAUAUUUUGGAACAUUACACCGAGCCUGAUAUAUAGGACCAUUAAGUACAAUGAAUGUCUUCAUUGGACUGUGUAGAAAGCACAUCCAUCAUGAUAUGUAUUUCUCUAGAAACCAUGGGCGUUAGCUUUGGUCAGCUAGUGAGAGUUUCUGGUAGGUGAGAUCCUAUCAUGCCUCUAAACAAAGCCCAGUUCUUCUUAUGGCAGUUGCCAGGGCAACAGCAACAGCACCAGAAGUGAAGGUGAGAUUUCUCUGGGCAAAGAAUGGAAGUCCCAAAAGCAGAGGGUUAAGUAACUGUAGGAAGUUUCCCAUCCUGGUGCAGAGGCAAAACCUGAGCUAAAUGAGGCUAACUCCUAGACUUAGGUGCUUAGCGGUUAGGACUUCCCUCGGCCUCCAACAUGCAGCUAUGCAAGUCCCAGGGUAUUCAUGCCUAGAGAGAGGGGGGAAAUGGCAGUGUACCACCCAAUCCAGCAGGUGGUCAUCUGGCAAAACAACUAAAGUUGGUCAACAUUUGGUGACUAUGAGUCAAUUUUCCACACAAGAAUAAUAAGCCUCUGCAUUAAACUCUUUCUGGACCAAUCUGUUCCCCUCUUUUUCCUCUAUUUGGAACACAUGCCCCCAGCAAACCAUUGUCCCCAGACUCCUCAGUAGUCACCACACGAGGAUUGUCACUGAGAUACAGAUCAUGUAUCUCGUGAAUCUGUCUUAACUGUUAUGUAUAGGCAAUUUAUAUUUAAUGGAACUGUUAAUAUGCUUGGAUUUAGGUCUACCAUUUUAUUAUGUUUUGUUUUUCCCUCGGUUUUUCUCCCUUACAUUCCUGCCUUGUUUUGGAUUAUUUGAAUAAUUUAUCUAUUCACUUUUUGGCUAUAUCUUGUGACUGGUCUAGAGAUUACACACCCAAUCUAUAUCUUGUGACUGGUCUAGAGAUUACACACCCAAUCUUUCACUUGAGUUAAUAUUUUACUUCAUGUAAGAUAUAGGAUGCGGGUACUUUAACAGAAUCAAGUCAACAUAUGUAUUACCUGUAUCCCUCCCCCCCAAUAAGAUCUAAUGGGAAAAUAAUCAGUCUUGAAAACUGGAGAUCAAAAAUGCCAGUCCCAAUCAGCCUAUCCUUGCUUUACCUUCCAUCGCCAUACUCUUGCUCAGUGGCUGCUCUGUAAGGCAGGACUGAACUAAUAGAGUAUGCAUUCUGACUACUGUGGAAUUCAAUUUGAAUUAUUUAAAGAGGACUAGAAAAAUUCCCAAAUAUUUAGAAAUUAAUCCACACAACUAAUCAUUUUGCCAUGGUUUUAAUGAUGAUGCAUCUUUGGAAAUGUAAUAGCACUGUUAGUUAAUAGUUUGUUAAGCAACUACUGUAUGACAGGCAACAACGCACAGUGCACGCUCUCUCCUGCCAGUUAUUCAAUCUGCAAGCAAACAAUUACUCAACAACUGUCAUGUGCCUCUUUUCUGGCUCCAAAUAUAGUGUAGAACAAUAGACGUUUGCUUUGUGGGGCUUUCUAAGCUUCUUGGAGAUACAAGACAGGACACAUGUAAUAUGUAAAAAGUCACAGUCCCUAUGGGGUAAAGUAAAGCUGUAGGUGACAAAGCACUGGGGGUAGGACAGGGCAUGUUAGCUCAGAUAUAGCCAGGAGCAGCUUUUGGAGAAGGUAGCUAUUGAGCAGAGACCCUGAAGAGGGAAGGCAGCAACUGAGGAAAUAUAUUCCGGGCAGGCAUAUUGGGUCCCUGAGACAAGGCAGCGGUGGGUGUGGAGCAGCAGCACGGUGUCCAGAGUAGCUGGGGCAGGAGAUGGGUUGGGAAUGACAGCCAAGCAUCUUAAGGGCCGGGCCGCAAGAAAAUGUCCCAGUCCUCUGUUGUAGGGAGUACUUGGAUGGGGUCAAGUUUGGUGUUUGUAUUAAAGGGUUCUCAUUGCCUGGUCUGAAAUGAACUAGGGAUCCAGCGAAGCCCAAGAGGAAGCUCUUAUGGUCAUCCUGGUGAGGUCAAUGGUGGCCUACGCCUGGCCAGUGAUGGGGAGAAGUGAUCAGAUAUAGGCAGAACCCUCAUUUUGAAGGUGGAUUGGACACGGCGGGGUGAAAGAAGCAAUCUUAGUCUGCCUUCAUUCCUUAGCUUCUUCAUUUUCCAUUUAUUUACCCAACAAAGGGUUACUGAGCAGCUUCUACGGAGCCAGCUGAGCCAGGCCUUGAGAUAAGACUGCAAGCAGAAUCCAGAUGGCCUCCUUGUUCUUGCCCUCAGGAUAGAGAGGACAAUGGGGAAGAGCUCAGUAAGUCAAAUAAAAAAAUGCAACAUAAGGAAUUUCUUCUGGGAUGAACGCUCUAAGGGAGAGUUGCUGAGAACUGGCAGAGACAAAGAAGGGGAGUAAUUGGGGAGGGAAAAGGAUGUUCUGGAAAGAAGAGGUGCUUGUGUUAGAGCAGUUAUCCUGCUGCAGAAGGCAGCUGGAGCAGAGGGUGCUGAGGAGGUGCUGAGGAGGUCCAGUGCCUGUCACAGAGGACCUCAAUGGCUUCACCACAAACCACAGGAAGGGCUUCUGUCCCUGUCCCCUGAGAGGAAUGGGAUUCAUUGGAAUGUUUUAGACAGUGACGGGAACAGAUGCUUUGGUAGGAAAUGGUUUGCAAAGAGGUUGUCAGGACUGGUGUUGACAGGCACCCACUGCUGCACUUGUCCCUGGCCUCUCAGGUCAUUGCCUUCUCCCAUUUCUGACUGCCUGCCCUGACAUCUGUGUAACUUAACUUUCCACAAUGGAGAAGGGCCAAAGGACCUCUCUCUCUAUUUUGCUCUGUGUCAACUUGAGUAAGAGAAGCUCAACUAAAUUGCCUCAGCAAUUUCAUACCCUAGGGGGACUUGUUGCCUGGAUGGUAUAAAGGAGAAAUGACGAGGGAUGGAUUUGCUUCUGUUUCUUCAGAGGAGCUCUAGUCUUCAUCUUCACCUUGGAUGUUAUCUCCUGGCUUCCAGGUCAGACUCUUUAGGGUCUGGUGCAGAGCCUUCAGCCUUCUGGUGUAUAUUCUUCUGCCUUCCAUCGAAGACCAACUGGCUUCCUAAUACUGACUUCAAUGGGACACUGCAGUGAACUCCAGAUCUUUGACUGAAUCCUUCGGUCUCCAGUGUGUGGGGCCGUUGCUGUGGCUAUACUUGACCAUGUGGUUUAGGAGCCUUUGGAGCUGGCUUGUGGGAAGGGGAAGAGUUAGGAAAGGUUUGCAGAUGGCUGAAAACAGAGCUGGAAUGCCUGAGGCUGUACUUGAUGGGAGAUUCUGGCCAGAGCUCAGAAGACCAGAAUUCGGAUAGAAACAGGCUUAGGAGGUUUCUGCUGGGAAGAAGGCACUCCAGAUGAUGUGGGUUAUGCCUUGGGAGAAGGUUUGUCUGCAUUUUUCUGUUGUCCAGAGACUUUGCCUGAAACAGAUUUAGGGUGGCGGACUAACUAAUCUGGCAGAAGAAAUUUCACGGCAGUCUAAUGAGGCUGUGGCAUGGCUACUGUUGGGGGUUUUUAGCCCAAUUUACGUUGAGAAUCAAGAGCAAAGAGCCCAGCAGAAUGACUUAAAAUGUUAGCCCAGAAAGGAAGCUCCAGUAAAAUUUCAGCCUGCAAAGAUGAACAGAAGAGAAAUUAGUUGCUGAAAAAGAUUAGCAAGAAAAGUCAAGUAUUUCAGAAGAUGACAGAAAAGUUGGCCUAAGGGCAGCAUAAGAAGCAGGAGGACUCCACCCUUUGCAGCAUCAAAGUUGCAAAAGUGAGACUCUUUUGAGAAGAGAGACCCAGAGCUCAUGUUCCAGAAUGGCAGCAGUCUAGGAAAAUUGCUCCUCGGGAUUUGGCUCAUAGGUACUGGACCCCUAAGCCUGGCUACUGCUCCAGCUGGACCUUGGCUCAUCCACAUGGUGCUGGUUUUAGAGGCAUGCAGAAUGCAAGAGUUGUGGGGUCAGCAAGGCUUCCACCCAGAUUUCAGGAAAAGGCCUGGGAGGCCAAGCAGUGUGCCUCUGAGGGUGCAGUGUGUGAAGCCAUAGGUGCAGGAAACCAGGAAUGUGGAUCAUCUAAGGAAAGCUGCACGGAGUGAGCAAAGCCAGCCAAAGAAAGAAGCCAGAGAGCAAUAACAAGCAGCAGUGCCACAGGGGCAGACGCACCCAAGCCCUUUGGAGUUCACAACUUGCCAGACUGCCUCGGACGCUGGAAGUGAACUGUGGGAUUUAAUGUUUGCCCUGCUGGAUUUUGGUCUUGCUUUGUUCCCAUUCCUUGCUAUCCCCCUUUGUAACUUUUGGAAUGGAAAUGUCUAUCUUGUGCCCUUGAAUGUUGGACACGUUUAACUUUCUUUUCACUUGUACCAGGGCUUGCAGUUAAGAGUUUGCCUGAAAUCUCAGAGGAGACUUUGGACUUGAACUUUUCAGCAAUGCUGAAGUUGUUAGGACUUUGGCAACUCUUGGAGAUGGACUAAAUGCCUUUUGCAUAAAGGGAUAUGCAUGAGUCCUCGGGGGUCCAGGGCUGGAAUGUUAUGGCUUGCGUUUAGAUAUCACCCCAAAGCUUCAUACGGUCAUAGGUGGGGCUUUUCAGAGGUGGCUGGAUCUAGACUGUGUGAUGCUGGGAUUGAUUCAUGGUGCAAAGCUAGGCUCAAGAGCACUAGGAUUAAGGGUGUGAGUGCUACCGCCCUAAGUAGCCUGGAUAAGAUAUAAGGGAUAGAAAGAGCUGUGGUCAUCCCUGUUGCUGUUACCUUCUACCUGCCAUGAACUGUUUCUUCUCUGUGAUGCUUGUCUGUCAUGCCACCCUGCCUUGGAGCCAGCCGAUUAUAGACUGAAACCUCUACAUACUGCUGAGUGAAAUAAAUCUUUCCUCCUUUAACUUUGGGUGUUGGGUAUUUUGUCUCAGCAAUGAGAAAAGUAACUAAGACACUUAGGCUUCUCUAUAUAAGAGAAAUGAUGCCAUAUUUAAGGCUUAUGUGUUUGAUUGACUGUAUUUUACCAAAUAUUAUAGUCUUAUGGUACACAUCCAUUUUCCUACAAAUGACUCAAGUUUAUCCUUUAUGGCAGAGUAGUACAGUGGACCCUCAAAAGUUACAACCAGCCUGACAUACAAAAAAACUUGGGUUAAUUAGGUUAAUGGAAGAUUCAUCUGCCUGUUAUCUAUAGCGUAUACCCAGGUAAAAAUCCAGAUCUCAGCUAUAUUGACUUACAACCAGCCCUUGGGAACCAAUUGAGUUCAUAAAUUAAUAAUCCACUCUACUUCAUUGUGUAUCAAUACAUUUUCCUUACCCAUUCAUCUGUUGAUGAACAUAUAGGCUGCUUCAAGAUUUAGCUACUGUGAGCUAUGGUGCUGUAAUCAUGGGUGUGUAUAUAUCACUGUAGUAUGAUGACUCUCUCUGGAAGAUGCUUAGAAGGGAAAUAACUGAGUGGAAUGGAAUUUCAAGUUUCAGUUUUUUGAGGAAUCUCCAUGCUGACUUCCAUUAGUGGUUGUACCAGUUUACAUUCUCACCAACAGUGUAGGAAGAAUUCCUUUACCACCACCCCCCAUCAGCAUUUGUUAUUGAUUUAUUGAUGAUGGCCAUUCUUUCUUGGGGCAAGAUGGAAUAUCAAUAUUAUUUUAAUUUGUAUUCCCUCUAAUGGCCAGAUACGUUGAACUCUUUCGGCUAUUUUUACUCCUUCUAAGAGGUUCUAUUCGGUUCAUUUUUUUGGUUUGUUUUUGGUUUUUUGGUACCAGGGAUCUAACUCGGGACCUUGUGCUUGCGAGGCAGGCAGUGGAACCACUGAGAUAAAUCCCUGGCUCCAGUUUCUCAUUUUGUCACAGCCUUAUACUUAAGUCAUAUCUCUGAGUGUCAUCUCUUCUCCUGGCCUGUUUCCAGUUCCUGGGGUUCCCCAUCCACCCUGGGGAACACACACAGAGCUCCAGCCACACUGCAGGCCCUUCACUGUCCUAUCCAGCUGCUCCUGUGCCAUCUCCUCCAGGAAGGGCAAUCCCCAAGCAUGUGCUGUUCUUGUGUCCUUCGCAGAAGCAGCAGCACAGAAUUUGGCACAUGGUACAGGUCCUGCCCUAGGCCAUGGGAACUUGAGGAGCUUCACCAAUGGUAGGAAUUAUUUCUAGGGAAAACAGGUGUCACAAGAGCAUAGGAUCUGGUGACAGGUGAGUGGCGUCCCCUGGCAGGCUGGCUCCUCCAUUUCAUUCUUGCAAUGUGGGUCACCUCUUCUGAUGUCCUUGCUGGGAGCUACACAAAGUCAGUUGUGAAAGUGAUGGUUUCCUUCCUGUUCUUUGGAGCAUGUCUCUCACCAUCAGGGCCAAAGGUGGGUGGGUAAGGCCUCUUCUGCACUGUUUUUGGAUUCUCUUAAGACCUGAGAAAGGGAGAGGAAAAGUUAAAAUAGGGGCUAAAUGGAAAAAUGAGGAUCUCAAACAGGAAACUUGAUGUGCUGUGGGGUUUCAUUUCUCAUGUGCAAAGCACAUUUUCUCCAACCUAUCAUUUCUGAAAUAAAUGAGCCAUGAUCAUUUAAUGCGAAUGCAUCCCAGACCUGAGUUGGGCCCUUGUAAUUUGGAAUCAAAAAUGACUGACGGGUUGACGGAAAAGUUCUGCCAAUAAAUUACAUACAUCCUGUUAGUUCAGUCUCAUACCUAAAAAUAUCUUGAAUCUAAAGAGAAGCUGGCAGAGGCUAUAGAUUGACAAAAAAAAAUUCAACCAUAAAACCUAAGCAAAAUUAUAUCCACAUUCCCCAAGCUGUAGUUAAAAUUAAUUUGUUUUGAGACCAAAGUCAAAUAUGCCAGUACAUCGUGUAAUUCAUUGAAUUUG
ensembl:lncRNA